GGUGGCUCAGUGGCAGAGUGCUUGCCUAGCACGCAUGAAGCCCUGAGUUCAAAUCCUCAGCACCA
rnacentral:tRNA from 1 species